AGUGGGGAAUAUUGGACAAUGGGGGCAACCCUGAUCCAGCCAUGCCGCGUGAGUGAUGAAGGCCUUAGGGUUGUAAAGCUCUUUUAACGGUGAAGAUAAUGACGGUAACCGUAGAAAAAGCCCCGGCUAACUUCGUGCCAGCAGCCGCGGUAAUACGAAGGGGGCUAGCGUUGUUCGGAUUUACUGGGCGUAAAGCGCUCGUAGGUGGUGUCGCAAGUCAGGGGUGAAAUCCCGGAGCUUAACUCCGGAACUGCCUUUGAAACUGCGAUGCUGGAAUCUCAAAGGGGGUGGCGGAAUUGCUAAUGUAGGGGUGAAAUCCGUAGAUAUUAGCAGGAACACCGAUGGCGAAGGCAGCCACCUGGAUGAGUAUUGACACUGAGGAGCGAAAGCGUGGGGAUCAAA
rnacentral:rRNA from 1 species